AUUGAACGCUGGCGGCAGGCUUAACACAUGCAAGUCGAACGGUAGCAGGAGAAAGCUUGCUUUCUUGCUGACGAGUGGCGGACGGGUGAGUAAUGCUUGGGAAUCUGGCUUAUGGAGGGGGAUAACGACGGGAAACUGUCGCUAAUACCGCGUAGUGUCGAGAGACGAAAGGGUGGGACUUUUAGCCACCUGCCAUGAGAUGAGCCUAAGUGGGAUUAGGUAGUUGGUGGGGUAAAGGCCUACCAAGCCUGCGAUCUCUAGCUGGUCUGAGAGGAUGACCAGCCACACUGGAACUGAGACACGGUCCAGACUCCUACGGGAGGCAGCAGUGGGGAAUAUUGCGCAAUGGGGGCAACCCUGACGCAGCCAUGCCGCGUGAAUGAAGAAGGCCUUCGGGUUGUAAAGUUCUUUCGGUAUUGAGGAAGGUUGAUGUGUUAAUAGUACAUCAAAUUGACGUUAAAUACAGAAGAAGCACCGGCUAACUCCGUGCCAGCAGCCGCGGUAAUACGGAGGGUGCGAGCGUUAAUCGGAAUAACUGGGCGUAAAGGGCACGCAGGCGGUUAUUUAAGUGAGGUGUGAAAGCCCCGGGCUUAACCUGGGAAUUGCAUUUCAGACUGGGUAACUAGAGUACUUUAGGGAGGGGUAGAAUUCCACGUGUAGCGGUGAAAUGCGUAGAGAUGUGGAGGAAUACCGAAGGCGAAGGCAGCCCCUUGGGAAUGUACUGACGCUCAUGUGCGAAAGCGUGGGGAGCAAACAGG
rnacentral:rRNA from 1 species